rnacentral:tRNA from 2 species
AUAGUAUUAGUUUAAAGUAAAACAUGAAAUUGCAAAUUUCAAAAUAAGUGUACUAUU